rnacentral:misc_RNA from 1 species
AAGUCGUAACAAGGUUUCCGUAGGUGAACCUGCGGAAGGAUCAUUAGCAAAAAUCUGUUUGGUUAUAAGGGUUGGAAAGGGGGUAUAGGGAGGAUUUGGGGGGAGGUUUUAAAUUUCCUUCUCUUUUCUCUCUAUCUCUCUACCUCUCUCUACUAACCAAAAUAUUCACUCGGACUGUCUAUCAUGGACAGUCUCGAGAUAUAUUCACGAUUGUAUUGUUUGACAGAGUCAUGUGACCUUAUAAAAAAAAAGAUAACUUUUAACAAUGGAUCUCUUGGCUCUU